AAGUUGUUGAGAAAUUGAAGGGAGCGGGAGUUGAAUACAGUUGGAUUGAGGAGCAGUUGAAUGGAAAUUCCUUCAAUUGGAACCAGUUAUUCGAGCUCUUGUGCUUCUUCAACAGGCUGGGGCUUACUGACGAACAAUUGGGAAAACUAAUAUGUCAAAUUCCUGGUCUCCUGUUUGAUUGUUCCGGGCGUACUACAUUUUCACUAAUUGGAUUCUUGUUGAAAUUUGGUUUAAAGAAGCCUUGGGGCUUACUGAUGAACAACUGCGAAAACUACUAUGUCUAAUUCCUGGUCUCCUAUUUGAUUGUUCCGGACGUACUACAUUUUCACUAAUUGGAUUCUUGUUGAAAUUUGGUUUAAAGAAGCCCGAAUUACUUGAGGUAUUUCUACAGUUCCCACAAAUUCCAGUAACGAAAUUUGUAUUCAAU
rnacentral:lncRNA from 1 species